rnacentral:rRNA from 1 species
UUUAGAACGUCGUGAGACAGUUCGGUCCCUAUCUGCCGUGGGUGUAGGAAAUUUGAGAGGAUCUGUCCUUAGUACGAGAGGACCGGGUUGGACGAACCUCUGGUCUACCAGUUGUUCCGCCAGGAGCAUAGCUGGGUAGCUACGUUCGGAAGGGAUAAACGCUGAAAGCAUCUAAGCGUCAAGCCCACUCCAAGACUAGAUAUCCCGUAGGGUUAACCUACCUAAAGACCCCUCGCAGACUACGAGGUUGAUAGGCUGCAGGUGGAAGCGCAGCAAUGCGUGAAGCCGAGCAGUACUAAUCGGUCGUGAGGCUUAACCUU